rnacentral:lncRNA from 1 species
UUGGCCUUUGACCCAUUAAAUGAAUUAAAAAAAAAAGAAAUUAAGUUUAAAAAAACUUUACACUAAAAGGGCGAAUUUACCCUUCAGCUAGUGACUAUUUAAAUCUCAUUUUCUAACCGACUGACCAAAAAAGAAAAUCGACGCACAGUCGCCUGAAAAUUGUCCGAUCAACCACCGGCCAACUACACCACCGUCGUAGUGAGCUAAAUCGACGACCACGCAUCUACA